UGUGGGAGCGAGCUUGCUCGCGAAGGCGUCCUGUCAGUCAGUGAUUCGUCACUGACACUCCGCUUUCGCGAGCAAGCUCGCUCCCACA
rnacentral:antisense_RNA from 1 species